rnacentral:rRNA from 1 species
UGAUAGUGUAGCUGGUUCCCAGGAAUAUGUGCACACUUGUCAUCUUUAUAUAUUUCCACCUGUGCACCUUUUGUAGACCUGGGGAUUUUUCCUAGGCCUAUGUUUUUCAAUAUACUCCGAAUGUUAUAGAAUGUAAUAAAUGUAGGGACUUUUGUGCCUAUAUAUACUUAUACAACUUUCAAGCAACGGAUCUCUUGGCUCUCGCAUCGAUGAAGAACGCAGCGAAAUGCGAUAAGUAAUGUGAAUUGCAGAAUUCAGUGAAUCAUCGAAUCUUUGAACGCACCUUGCGCUCCUUGGUAUUCCGAGGAGCAUGCCUGUUUGAGUGUCAUUUAUUAUUAUCAACCUCACUAGUUUGAGUGCUUGGAUUUUGGGGGUUUGCUGGCGAAGGUCAGCUUCUCUGAAAUGCAUUAGCAGAAAAUGGUAAACCCUGUUCAUUGGUGUGAUAACUAUCUGCGCUAUUGAAAGGGGGGAAAAGCAUAUUCAGCUUCUAAUAGUCCAUUUAGUUGGACAA